GGUGGCUCAGUGGUAGAGUGCUUGCCUUGCAUGCAUAGGGCCCUGGGUUCGAUUCCUCAGCACCA
rfam:Dipodomys ordii contig_71720, whole genome shotgun sequence.